ACACAAAGAACCCGGGCUCGCCGAGCGCGCGCGCACACCCUCAUGCCGCGCGGCGAACGUUCGUUGCCAGGUGCGGCAGCCCGCCCUGGGCGCCUCCUGCCUGCGGAAGAAGAGCAGGACAGACCCGACCCGACCCGCCUAGUCCUUUCCUUCACAGCAGCCUCCAAACUCCACCGCUCGCCUCUUCCGCCAGGCUCCUAGGAUGAGGCCCAGGGCUCCUGGAGCAGCCAGGUGCAAACCAGACCGGGCUCGCACUCCACUGCGUUGCCCUGGGCGAUCGUCCACGUUCUGGGAGACUCGGUAUGCCCCGGGAGGGUGGCCUGAGCUUGUGGUGUGAAGCCAGGUACAGAGCUCCAGAAUCCUGGCCUUGCCAUGGCUGUGUGACCCUGGGCAAGUGACUCAAUUUCUCUGCCUCAGUGUCCUCAUCUAUAAAAUGGAAAGGAAAAUAGUAGCGCUUGUCUCCUCCGGCUGUUAUGAAGAUCCAAGGUUAACAGCGUAGAGAACUCGGAACGCACCCGGCAUCUAGGAAGUGCCAAGCCAGUGUCAGCUAAUGUGACUAUUUUUAAAUGGAGAUGGGGAGUGUGCCAUUAUUCUUGUCCUUAUUUGAAUGAACGGGCCCUCAGGGACCAUUUUCCACUGCCCCGCCCUGGCAGCAUGAGAGGGAAACGCUGUGAGAACCCCGAACCCCAGCCUUCUCCUGUCCCUCUCUCUCUCUCUCUCUCUCUGCACCUGGGAGGCGGGGAGGAGAGAGCCGAUCCUUCCACCAUUUACACGGAGAAUGAAAGAAGAAAUACCGGCCAGGCGCGGUGGCUCAUGCCUGUAAUCCCAGCACUUUGGGAGGCCGAGGGGGCAGAUCACCUGAGGUCAGGAGUUCGAGACCAGCCUGGCCAACAUGGCGAAACUCCGUCUCUACUAAAAGUACAAAAAUUAGCCUGGCGUGGUGCCGGGUGCCUAUAAUCCCAGCUACUCAGGAGGCUGAGGCAGGAGAAUCCCUUGAACCCGGGAGGCGGAGGUUGCAGUGAGCCGAGAUCACGCCACUGCACUCCAGCCUGGGUGACAAGAAUGAGUCUCAAAAAAACAAAAAAGAAGAAGAAGAAGAAAUACCACACAGGUCCGACCAAGAGCUGCCCCCACUCAGGCCAGGAUCCCUGCCUGGAAGGGCUCUGCAGCCACUCUCCCUGUACAGCCCCAGGAUGCUAAGGAGCAUCCCGAAGUGACACUGGCUCUCCCUGGAGGCCCCUGCCAUCGGACUCCAACCUGACCUUCCAGUGGGUGCUCCUCAUACUGGCUCCAGCCAAGACAGACGAGGACCACUGGGCACAUGCCCUUCCUUGCCUUCCUGUCACCCUUCCCACCCUUCUCUGCGGGCCCCGGGUGGCCCCUUCCUCCAGGAAGCACCUGGGGAUCAGCAGUGCCUCUAGGGUCCCAGUGGCCCACGUGACAUCUGCUUCUGGCCACCUGAGCACUCUCCUUUGAGUUCAGGGUCACUGUACCCUUUUAUAGGUGAGCAAACGAAAGCUGAGGAAGAGGAGUGACUGGGUCUCCCACAUCCCUCUGCUUCAGCUAUGAGGUUCCCUCAUGAACUGCAGGAAUAGACGUCAAGCAAAAACUCCUCAGACGCCCUGUGCAUGUGUGGUCGCACAGGGCACAAAGACUGAAGCAAAGGGGCAGGUCCUAGCGUGGGGAGGGGACUCCAGGAUUGAAGUUUGAACCAAAAGGAGGCUUUGACUAAGCCACGAGCAGUGAAGCCGGCAGGAGAGGAAGCAAGUUCUAGCAGAGAAAUUCGCCGGGUAUGGUGGUGCAUGCCUAUGGUCCCAGCUACUCAGGAGGCUGAGGCAGGAGGAUCACUUGAGCCCGGGAGGUGAAGGCUGCGGUAAGCUAUGACUACACCACUGCACUCCAGCCUAGGUGCGAGAGCAAGACCCUGUCUCCAAACAACAACAACAACAACAAAAUCUGAAUGCCUGGUUUAUCUUGAAAUAUGGCAAAAUGGGGCCACCCAGGCCCAUUAACCCCCUGUCUACAAUGUCCUGGAGCUGAGGGGCAUUAGCCACCCUCUCACAUGGGCUCCCCAGGGUGCCACAGCUCCCUCCUAGCUAGUUUGCUCUUUUCUGUCACCUACCGGCCCUUGCAGGGAGCUGAAUUUGAGACCCAUGAUGCACUUUGUGCACCCUGCCCCCUCAAAGAUAACUGUGAGUACCAAGGGAAAUGGAAAGCUUUGGCAACAAGAAGGGAGCUUCAAGGAAAGCCAGGCCGAGGUUCCCCUCAGAACCAUAGACUAGCCUGAAAUUCCACUGGGACUAAUUCUUCUCAUUUCAAGAAUGAAAAUCGAUUGCUGGACAGAGCUCCCGGAGGGCCAAUUUUCAGGCUGUAGUCUACAGCCGUCCACGUAGAGGCAGUGAACGAAAUUUUUCAAAGCCUACUUUAUGAUUACUUUCUUUAGCAGCUCUCAACAGUAAAAUAAAAUUGAUCUAGGACUUUGAACAAAACUUCUCGCCCCUUUCUAGGGAAGAGUUUGUCUCGUCUAUCAGGCCACCAACAAGAGUUGUUGCAAUGCCUGUGGGAGGUGCAGCCCACGCUGGGCCACCUGGCCAGCUCAGGGAUCCUGCUGGAGAUCGAGGAUUGUCUGGUCGGCCUCUUACAACUCUCAGAACAUCAUCCCUGGGAGCAGCCCUGAAGAGACCAAGGGUCAGUGGCGGGGCUGCUGAGUGGCUGCCUCCCUGACCUGGCCAGCAUUUCCUGGGCACACUGCAGUGUGUCCACGUCCCUGGGUGUGUAGGUGGCUGCAGAGCCUUGUCAGAGCAUCUGGGCCUUCAGGGAUCUGCUUCCUGCCCACUACCCUCCUCUUGCCUGCCUGCAAAUCUCAGCUCCAUCCCUCAUGGGCUGUGUGACCUAGAGUGAAUAAUGUGACCUCUCUGUGCCUUGGUUUCUUGAUUUGUACAGCCUGAUUAAUCAUAACCCCUCUCCUGCAGAUUGUUGUGUGGAGUGAGUGGAGAUGAUUGAUGUGAAGCGUUGAGCCAGGUCCCUGGCACACAGUCUAACACUCUGGAAAGCAGGACCCCCACCUACCCCUGCCACCUGUGUGCUCCAGGCUUUCUUGCCUCCAGGCCUUCACCCUUGCUGCUCCCUCCUGCCAAGCACUUUGCCCAUUGCCCUUCUGCAACCUGGGUCUCUGCCAAACUUGGAGCCCCAGAAAGGGAGCACGCAGGAAGCGGGGAUGCCAAGCAGUCCCAGCAUGGGGCCUGGAGCACAGUGGACCCCAGGAAACCCUUGCAGGAUGUGGUCUGUGGGUGGCAAGUGCCUGGGCUCACUUCCUCUUCUCCCUCAGUGGGCACAGCAAAACUGCCCCAGAACUGGACAGACAGGGAAGGUGUCAGUACUGGAGACAGCUCUGCAGGGGACCGGGGACCCACAGUACAUUUAUUCAUUCACUAGCACUGCAGACAGAUGCUCUCCAGCUUCACAGACACCCCAGGCCAGGCCAUGUUCUCUCCCUUCUGGGUGACUGCAGGGGAUGCUUUCCUCCCUGGCUUCCUCUCCUCCCCGACAGCCCAUCUCCACUCCUGGGACUCUCUAUGGCAUAUAGCCAUUGCAGCAAACAAUUUGGUAGUUUCUCUUCUUUUCUUUUCUUUCUUUUUUCUCUUUUUUUUUCUGAGACAAAGUCUCUAAAAAAUGCUGUGUUGCCCAAACUGGCCUUGAACUCCUGGGCUCCAGUGAUCCUCGCACCUCAGCCUCCUAAGUAACCGGGGCUAUAGGCACACCACCACACCCAGCUACUCUGGCAGUUUCUGAUAAGGUUAUAAAUUUAUUGUAAGAUUAAACACAACACUAUGAGCCAGCAAUUGCACGCUCAGGUAAUUGGCCAGAAAGAAAUGAAAAUAUUUGUUCACCCAAAGACUUGUGAAUGGCAGUGGUAUUCAUACAGUCCAAAACGGAAACAGCCCUGGUUGUAUCUAUCAAUAGAAUGGAAAAACAGAUGGAAGGACUGCAACUCACAGGUGAAAAGGAACCGGCUACGAGAGGCUCCAAACCAAGGGAGCAGCGGAGUUUGUCUCCAAAACACCGAGCCCAGUGAGAGAAGCCAGAGCCACAGACCAGAUGCCCUGCAUGCGGGAUGGGAAGGGGCUCCAUCCUUACCUGGGGCAGGUCACUCCAGUGUGUGCUGUCGCGUUUCACUGUAGGAAGUGUAGACCUCAGUAAAAAUCCCAAGGAAAACCCCCAGACCCACUCAGGCUUCCUUCCUGCUUUGAACCACCUCAUGGCCCCCACCACACUGCCACUAAGCCACACUCCUGGCAGCCUCUGAGAUACCCCCUACCUGACCCUCCGCCACUCUCCUCCUCUGCCUCCCUCACUCCCAGCCUCUCUGGCCCCCUGGCUUUCCCUCCAACUCCAGGCUCCCCUCUCUCUGCCUCAGGGCCUUUGCCCCUGUCUUGCUCCCUGCCCCAGGCUCUUCCCCUCAGCCCUUCCCAGGUCUGGCUCCUUCUCCCUAGGCCUCAGCUCCAGUGUCUCAUCCCCAGAGACCUUCCCAGACCACCAUGUCUCAGACAGCCCCGGCUGCCUCCUGCCUGCCCUGCACCAGCCCUGAGCCAUCGCCUCAUUUUAUUCUCAUUCUAACUUGGAUAAUGGUUGCUCAAUCAAGAAGAAGCUGCCAGGCACAGUGGCUUGUGCCUGUAACCCCAGAACUUUGAGAGGCUGAGCGGGGUGGAUCACCCAAAGUCAGGAGUUCAAGACCAGCCUGGCCAACAUGGUGAAAUGCCGUCUCUACUAAAAAUACAAAAAUUCGCUGGGUGUGGUGGUGGGUGCUUGUAAUCCUAGCUACUCAGGAGGCUGAGACAGGAGAAUCCCUUGAACCCAGAGGCAGAGGUUACAGUGAGCCGAGAUCGUGCCACUGCCCUCCAGCCUGGGCAACAAAGAGUGAAACUCUUGUCUAAAAAAAAAAAGAAGAAGAAGAAGGAGAAGGAGAAGGAGCGGGAGAAGGAGAAGAAGAAGAAGAAGAAGAAGCCUCAGUGAAGUGCUCCAGCAUCUUCACCCCCUUGGUCACUUGCUCAUCUCCUUGAUGAACAAAAGCGGCCCCAGAUCAGAGCCAUCGAGCACCUGCAGCCAGCAAGGUUGGCUGGUUUUCAUUGUGUGCAUUUUUAAGGCGUCUUCUAUUUAUAGAAAGGAUUGUGGUCUUGCAUUUGUAGCAGCGAUGAAAGCUUUACUUUUUGGCAAAAUGUGUGCAAGUUGUUUAGAAGUGAGUCUGUUUGAAAAAAAAAAUUAAAUGAAUAAUGAUUUAGGAGGUGAGUUUGUUUCCUAGGGCUGCUGUGAUGAAGUGCCA
rnacentral:lncRNA from 1 species